UGGCGACCGGCGCACGGGUGCGUAACGCGUAUGCAACCUACCUGUAACAGGGGGAUAACACUGAGAAAUCGGUACUAAUACCGCAUAACACUAUGAGAGGCAUCUCUUGUGGUUGAAAGUUUCGGCGGUUACAGAUGGGCAUGCGUUGUAUUAGCUGGUUGGUGAGGUAACGGCUUACCAAGGCGACGAUACAUAGGGGGACUGAGAGGUUAACCCCCCACAUUGGUACUGAGACACGGACCAAACUCCUACGGGAGGCAGCAG
rnacentral:rRNA from 1 species